rnacentral:tRNA from 1 species
GCCGGGGUGCCUGAGCGGUAAAGGGCACGCCUGGAGUCCUGACAGAAAGCGUGUGGCCCAUUGGGCCUCCAGGGUUCAAAUCCCUGCCCCGGCG